GCACCAGAACUUUGUAAAUAACACCACAAAAUAAAAUAUUUUAAUUUUAGACCCCACAUGGAGGACAAACACUUCCCAACUAUUGAUAUGGAACAAAUAAAAAUCUGUGUUAAUCAGGCUGCAAUACCAUACCACAAUUCACAUAGGCCUUCUACUAUGCCCAUAUCAAACAUUUAAGAACAGGUGCAAAAACACCAUAAUCUAUGAUUGUUCAUAUAUAGUCAGUGAAGCUCAAUUGUCAGAUGGUUUUACACAGUUAGAAUAAUUCAUGGCCCCAAUAUAUAUAAGAUAUGCCUCUAAUAAUUAAGAAAAAAGCUAAUCAAUUACUAAAUUAAUAAUAUAAUUAAAACACAAUGUCAAAUUUCACAUCUAUAAAACAGGUGCAUGGAUCGUUAGAAAGCGCUUCUAAUGUUGACUAACAGAUCAAAUGGAUCUAAUCAAAAGACACCAUAAUCUUCAAACUCGCAGAUAAAAUAUAAGAAAACCUAGAUCCAGCAACCAUAUCAUCACUUAAAAUUAUAGAUAUGAAAUCACUAAAACAAAGAGAUAAACAACAAAACAAUUCCCAAAUCACCUUAACAAACAUGUACAGAUCCAACCCAAUACUGGCGCAAACAAAUGAGUCCCAUCAAAUACCCAACAUGAGCAGAUCCAACUAACAUUCAAUAUUUCAAGUAAAACGUAAUUGUUUUGCACAAACACAUCUGUAAAAUCUCCAAAUCAACACAAACCUGAGAAGAUUUAUACGCAUUGA
rnacentral:misc_RNA from 1 species